AGAGUUAAACAGUGCGUGAAAUUGUUGAAAGGGAAACGCUUGACACCAGUUAUGCGGGUGGAAAAUCAGUCUUUUGCAAUGGGGAGUUGUAGGCGUUCAGACCGCAAGGCUGGCGUUUGCUUCAUCUUUGUUGUAAGUGAUGCACUUUUUCAUUUGCAGGUCAACAUCAGUUUGCUUUGCUGGACAAAACUCCAAGGGAAGGUGGCAGCUUAGGCUGUGUUAUAGCCCUGGAGCGAUACAGUGGAGUGGACUGAGGUUUCGCAGUGUGUGCUUUUAGCAAGGCUGACUGGGUGCUAUGGGAUCGUUCGGCGUACAAUGCAUGCAUUUUGCGUCGUGUCUUUUUCAUACUCGCUCAACUCGGCUCUUCCACGCUUAGGAUGUUGACUUAAUGGUUUUAAUCGACC
rnacentral:misc_RNA from 1 species